CAGAAUCCACACAUCUCUACAGCAUCACAGAAAAUAAACAUAACAGGGAGGGUGGGGUGUAAGGAGGUCAGAGGACAUAUUACUAGAGUUGACUUUCUUCUUCAUCCUUGAGUGGUCCAGGGAUCAAGCUCAGGUCUCAGGUUUGGUGAUGGGACAGCUCCAACAGACUUCUGCUGCUGUGAGUUCUCUUCCUCGAUGAACUGUAACCUCGAACUGCGAGCUAAACCAACCCUUUCUACCUUCUGUUGCCUUGGUCAGGACUUCUAGCACAGCAAGAGAAGAAGCUGAGAUACUAGCCCUUCUCUCGGAAUUCGAUGCUACCUGAUCUCUCAACAAAGAGCUUCUAUUACACAGGGAAUGUUAGCCUGUUUGAAAUUGUUUUCUCACCUGAUCAUCAAACACACCAUCUGGCAUCUUGGCAGUAGACUCUGAGUCAGGAAGAAGUCUCAGAAUCUAGGAGAAGGUGGAACAGGAUUCAGAAAUAAACAAACAAACAAACAACAACAACAACAACAACAACGUAAAGACUGAUGAGCAAAAGAAUUCAGGCAAGAAGGAGCACUUCAGGAGAAGCAGAGAUGUGGGAAAGCCAGGGGAUGAGGUGUCACAUUUUUGUAUAAGCAUAGGUCAUGA